UGCAAGCCCGGAGAUAAGAGGCAGCAUUUCUGGAACGGGAUAAUUGGCUUCCUGUCAGAAAGCUUCAGGAGCUGUUUGUCAGGUUACAGCAGCUUUGAACGUGUUUAUCUGGGAAUCAGAAUGCGAAAACAAGAACAACAAAGAGCCCCGGCCGUGUUUACUCGAGUAGCGAUUUCUCUGCCGUCACGGCGGCUCUGACAGGAAGGAGAAACGUUAAACAGGAAGUCGUCUGGAAUCUGGGCUGCAGUUAAGGUGUUUCAACACAAUGAAGAGUUGUUGGAAUGGACACAACGCAGAAGACAAGAGGACAAACCAGAGGAAUGUCCCACAUUGACACGUGACAUAGUUCACAAUCACAGUCCCCUCUACGAGCAGGCAGAAGUCGUGCAGUCAUGUCCUCACCGACAGCGAUGGGAGAGAAAAGAGAAAUGUCUCUAUUCUACACAGAAACAGGGUCUCAGGAACAUGUAAACUACCUGGCCAUCUUUACAAUUACUGAAGGAGCCUGGUCAGUGUUUGGCUUCACCCCCAUCCAGUCC